ensembl:lncRNA
CAGUGAUCAGAUCUGAGUCUGAGAACGCUGGAGAAGAGAAAUAAUCACCGCGAGGUCCCGGCCUCCCUAUUUCUUGAAGGAUUUUGGAUUUGGAAGAGCAGCACCUGAGCUCCUGGAGGCCCCAGCGGCUGCCAUGGGGAGCGGCACACAUCUGGGUGAGCAUCACACGGGGCUGUCGCGGCGCAUCCCACACCGCCCUCCCACCCGCUGCCUCCAGUGCUGAUCGGCGCUGCCCUGCAGAGCGCUUUGCUAUGCGAGAUGGAUGUGAGCUCCGUCUGGAAGGAUUAGCCUUUAAAAAGCACGGAGAGCGGAGCUUUGCUAAUGGGGAUCGUUGCGUCUCAGCCGCCCUUCCUUCCAGGGGAGGCGUGCGAAGUUCUCUUCCACCUGACAUCCCUCUGAGCGUUUAAACCCAACGAGUCCCAGGUCAACAGCAAACCUCCCACCGGCUCCGUAGGGUUGGGGCUGUGCCUCAGCCUCUCUGCUAACAAGAAGAGACAAGCUGAAGUGAGCGCUCAGACAGCAACCAUCAGGAUUUCACAGCGUGUUUUGCCAGCAACUUGUUGUUUUUAUUCAGUGAGGUUUUUUUUUCCCUCCUCUGUGUGCUGUAGCGACUCAGCUCCAUCCCGGGCUGCUCCUGACAUUAACAAGGCAGCAGAUGACAGGCAAAAUGCGUCCACCAGCAAUUCUGAGUCUUCC